rnacentral:rRNA from 1 species
AGGACGAACGCUGGCGGCGUGCUUAACACAUGCAAGUCGAGGCGGAAAGGCCCUUCGGGGUACUCGAGCGGCGGAACGGGUGAGUAACACGUGAGCAACCUGCCCUUAGCUCCGGGAUAGCUCCGGGAAACCGGAAUUAAUACCGGAUACGACCACGGCCGACAUCUGCUGUGGUAGGAAAGGAUUCCGGCUAAGGAUGGGCUCGCGGCCUAUCAGCUAGUUGGUGGGGUAAUGGCCCACCAAGGCGACGACGGGUA